AGGAGCCCCAGGCCAGGGCAGACCUGGCAGCCAGGGUCCCUCAGGGCGGCCUGGAAAUCCUGGGACCCCUGGGUCCUCCUGGAACCAAAGGGGACAAAGGGGAACGGGGUGACCUGCAGUCGACAGCGUCGGUCCAGGACAUCGCCAGGCAGGUCUGUGAGCAGCUCAUUCAGAGCCACAUGGAGCGCUACAACUCCAUCCUGAACCAGGCGCCCAGUCCGCCAGUGUCCAUCCGCACUGUGCCGGGACCCCCCGGAGAGCCUGGCAGACAGGGAACCCCGGGGCCCCAGGGAGAACAGGGACCCACAGGAAGACCCGGCUUCCCAGGACAGAACGGGCAGAACGGGCAGCCGGGAGAACGAGGUACA